CGUUAAAAUGGUGGGAGACUACAGAGGAUUCCCUCGCUCUGUUCCGAGCCGUUACACUAACAUGCUUGUUGCUGACGCUGAGCCUUUCUAAAAGUUAACAGCUGGUUACGUAACGCCCGGCACUAGAGCUAGGAUCUCCACUCGGUCCCGUCCGCGCUCCGCUCCGCUCCGCGUCGUGUUGUUCACUCUUGGCUUUGUUAUUACCAGUCCAAAGUCCAACAGACAGACAGCUCACACACAACAGGACAAGGAGACCGACCACUCCGUUGCACCAACUUUUAUCCCCCCCCUACAAACUUUACGCCAAACCAGCGAUCACAAUGGGGAAAGGCUGCAUGAAGGCAAUCAAGUACUUCCUGUUCCUCUUCAAUGUCCUCUUCUUCCUGUUUGGCGCCCUCAUCAUGGGGUUUGGACUGUGGGUCCUUCUGGACAAUGAGAGCUUCAUGGUCAUCCUGCAGGA